rnacentral:rRNA from 1 species
CCUACGGGUGGCUGCAGUGAGGAAUAUUGGUCAAUGGCCGGAAGGCUGAACCAGCCAAGCCGCGUGCAGGAUGAAGGCCUUCGGGUUGUAAACUGCUUUUAUAAGCGAGAAAUAUGAUGGUAACUUAUGAAUAAGGAUCGGCUAACUACGUGCCAGCAGCCGCGGUCAUACGUAGGAUCCGAGCAUUAUCCGGAGUGACUGGGUGUAAAGAGUUGCGUAGGUGGCAUAAUAAGUAGCUAGUGAAAUCUGGUGGCGCAACCAUUCAGACUAUUAGCUAAACUGUUAAGCUCGAGACCGUUAGGGGUAACUGGAAUUUCUAGUGUAGGGGUGAAAUCCGUAGAUAUUAGAAAGAACACCAAUAGCGUAGGCAGGUUACUGGGACGGUUCUGACACUAAGGCACGAAAGCGUAGGGAGCAAACGGGAUUAGAUACCCUAGUAGUC